AUUGAACGCUGGCGGCAGGCCUAACACAUGCAAGUCGAGCGAGCGGCGGACGGGUGAGUAAUGUCUGGGAAAAUGCCUGAUGGAGGGGGAUAACUACUGGAAACGGUAGCUAAUACCGCAUAUCAUCAGAUAGGCCCAGAUGGGAUUAGCUAGUAGGUGGGGUAAAGGCUCACCUAGGCGACGAUCCCUAGCUGGUCUGAGAGGAUGACCAGCCACACUGGAACUGAGACACGGUCCAGACUCCUACGGGAGGCAGCAGUGGGGAAUAUUGCACAAUGGGCGCAAGCCUGAUGCAGCCAUGCCGCGUGUAUGAAGAAGGCCUUCGGGUUGUAAAGUACUUUCAGCGGGGAGGCGUUACCCGCAGAAGAAGCACCGGCUAACUCCGUGCCAGCCGCCGCGGUAAUAC
rnacentral:rRNA from 1 species